rnacentral:tRNA from 1 species
UAGAGCAUGCGGCUGUUAACCGCAGUGUCGUUGGUUCGAGUCCAACAGGGGGAG